AUUGAACGCUGGCGGCAUGCCUUACACAUGCAAGUCGAACGGUAACGCGGGGCAACCUGGCGACGAGUGGCGAACGGGUGAGUAAUGCAUCGGAACGUGCCCGGUAGUGGGGGAUAACUGCUCGAAAGAGCAGCUAAUACCGCAUACGACCUGAGGGGGAAAGGGGGGGAUCGCAAGACCUCUCGCUAUCGGAGCGGCCGAUGUCGGAUUAGCUAGUUGGUGGGGUAAAGGCCUACCAAGGCGACGAUCCGUAGCUGGUCUGAGAGGACGACCAGCCACACUGGGACUGAGACACGGCCCAGACUCCUACGGGAGGCAGCAGUGGGGAAUUUUGGACAAUGGACGCAAGUCUGAUCCAGCCAUGCCGCGUGCGGGAAGAAGGCCUUCGGGUUGUAAACCGCUUUUGUCAGGGAAGAAAUCUUCUGAGUUAAUACCUCGGGAGGAUGACGGUACCUGAAGAAUAAGCACCGGCUAACUACGUGCCAGCCGCCGCCGUAAGAC
rnacentral:rRNA from 1 species